UCAGCCCUAAGCUACUCCAAACUCCCCAUCAUUCCUAAAGGCACAUUCAAUACUCACAUGUUCAUUCUAAAGAAAACUCUCAGUGUCAUCAAAACAUUCAACAAUUCUUUCAGUGGCGUUUCAUCUGUUAAGUUCCUUGUUCAUGACCCAAAAAAAAUCUGUUGUGUUUAUCUCUUAUCGCUAUUACUAAGGCAUGGGAUGGUAUGCAUAUUUUU
rnacentral:lncRNA from 1 species